GGAGCUGUGGCUGAGUGGUCGAAAGCGCCGGCUUGCUAAGCCGGUGAACCGUUUAUCGGUUCCCUGGGUUCGAAUCCCAGCGGCUCCG
rnacentral:tRNA from 2 species